rnacentral:rRNA from 1 species
GCAAGUCGAGCGAACAGACGAGGAGCUUGCUCCUCUGACGUUAGCGGCGGACGGGUGAGUAACACGUGGAUAACCUACCUAUAAGACUGGGAUAACUUCGGGAAACCGGAGCUAAUACCGGAUAAUAUAUUGAACCGCAUGGUUCAAUAGUGGAAGACGGUUUUGCUGUCACUUAUAGAUGGAUCCGCGCCGCAUUAGCUAGUUGGUAAGGUAACGGCUUACCAAGGCAACGAUGCGUAGCCGACCUGAGAGGGUGAUCGGCCACACUGGAACUGAGACACGGUCCAGACUCCUACGGGAGGCAGCAGUAGGGAAUCUUCCGCAAUGGGCGAAAGCCUGACGGAGCAACGCCGCGUGAGUGAUGCAGGUCUUCGGAUCGUAAAACUCUGUUAUUAGGGAAGAACAAAUGUGUAAGUAACUAUGCACGUCUUGACGGUACCUAAUCAGAAAGCCACGGCUAACUACGUGCCAGCAGCCGCGGUAAUACGUAGGUGGCAAGCGUUAUCCGGAAUUAUUGGGCGUAAAGCGCGCGUAGGCGGUUUUUUAAGUCUGAUGUGAAAGCCCACGGCUCAACCGUGGAGGGUCAUUGGAAACUGGAAAACUUGAGUGCAGAAGAGGAAAGUGGAAUUCCAUGUGUAGCGGUGAAAUGCGCAGAGAUAUGGAGGAACACCAGUGGCGAAGGCGACUUUCUGGUCUGUAACUGACGCUGAUGUGCGAAAGCGUGGGGAUCAAACAGGAUUAG